rnacentral:rRNA from 1 species
GUGGGGAAUCUUGGACAAUGGGCGCAAGCCUGAUCCAGCGAUGCCGCGUGGGUGAAGAAGGCCUUAGGGUUGUAAAGCCCUUUCAGCGGGGAAGAUGAUGACGGUACCCGCAGAAGAAGCCCCGGCUAACUCCGUGCCAGCAGCCGCGGUAAGACGGAGGGGGCUAGCGUUGUUCGGAAUAACUGGGCGUAAAGGGCGCGUAGGCGGCGGGUCUAGUCGGGCGUGAAAGCCCGGGGCUCAACCCCGGAGGUGCGUUCGAAACUGGCCUGCUCGAGGCCGGGAGAGGAGAGUGGAAUUCCCAGUGUAGAGGUGAAAUUCGUAGAUAUUGGGAAGAACACCGGUGGCGAAGGCGGCUCUCUGGCCCGGAUCUGACGCUGAGGCGCGAAAGCGUGGGGAGCAAACAGG